rnacentral:rRNA from 1 species
UACGGGGGGAGCAAGCGUUGUUCGGAUUUACUGGGCGUAAAGGGCGCGUAGGCGGCCACCGCAGGUCAGUUGUGAAAGCUCUGGGCUUAACCCAGAAAGGUCAGCUGAUACUGCGGGGCUAGAGUGCAGAAGGGGCAACUGGAAUUCUCGGUGUAGCGGUGAAAUGCGUAGAUAUCGAGAGGAACACCUGCGGCGAAGGCGGGUUGCUGGGCUGACACUGACGCUGACAGCGCGAAAGCUAGAGGAGCGAACGGG